CCGUGCUAGGCGGGGAGCUCGUGGUGCCCUGCAUCCUCAAUCCACGUACGAGGGGCUGAACUCCCACCUGAGGCCCGGCCCGCUGAGCGUUCGGCCCCGUGCCCGGUGUCGACGGUUGGGUCCUGCGCAGCGGAGCCCCGCAAAUCGAGUCAGGUCCGGAAGGAAGCAGCUCUCCGCGGUGUCGCUCCGAGUGCCGCAGGCGAGCCUGACUUGAGCCGGGUCGGGUUACUGGCGUUCGGCGGUGUCGGGUCGACGGCGGGUGCACGG
rnacentral:SRP_RNA from 2 species